GCAAACAAUACAGCGAUUAACAUAUAUAGUAGUAAGAUGACAUUUGAUAAUACUAGUGUCCAGUACAUAGCAUAUUCAUAUUUAUAGAUGUACCUUUUAAUUUACACUUUUGUUCUUCCAGUGAGGCGGGUGCUAUCUUAAUUUAUGCAUAACUAGGCUAGAAAUUAACAAGGCUUACUAGCAGAAUACCUAGACUUAAAAACAAAAAGAAAAAGAAGCCCUAAUACAUUAAUGACAUGAUAAGGCGAGGUCUUUGUUCUUCAAAGCAACUCAGCUGUACCAUCCUCUAAGGACAUGUUAAUUAGGUCUUCAUGACCCUGAGCACCACCUUCAUCAAAGAGCCAUUUCUCCAGCAAUGAUAAAGGAACUUGAUUCUCCAUGUUUGGCUUGCUUUCGUCUUGGAACAGGCAGGUUUCUGGUGUCAAAUUUGCAUUCUCAUCCACCGACUGAGACGCAUCGGAUGAGUUGGAAGAGUUGAAGCUAAAAAGUGAGUCAAAUCCCUGAUGAUCAAGUGUGGUUUCACUAUUUGCUCCUUCACUAGAACUGGAAUUGGCAGCUACUGCGUUGUUGAAGGAAGUUUGGGUAGUGUCUGAGUUCGUUUGAGCUUGUUUUGGUGAAUUUUUCAUCCAGUUUUCCAGCAAUCUUGCAAUGUUUUCUGCACUUGAUGCAUAGGUGGAUCCUUGUACUUGAUGCGGUCUUGUGUAAGGGUGAGAGGCAUUAGUAACAGAGGCCUUUGCUUCAGUUAAAGAGCUUGAUUUGUCAAGGGACAAGGCCUCACAAAGGGCUUGUUUAGCCAAACGGAUAUCAGUUUGGAGCCUUCUCUCCCACUGACCCUUUGACUGCUGUGAGGCUGAGAACCCAUCAUGAUUCUGCCCAUCUUGGAGCUUUCUGAGCUUCUUUUUCAAAUGGGUAUUCCAAUAAUUUUUUAUAUCAUUAUCGGUUCUCUGAGGAAGAUAGGAUGCCAUGGCUGCCCAUCUGCAUGCAAGCAACAUCAAAAUCUGGUUAGUUUACCAAGGUCCCAUAUAAACAAUAAACAGAAGAAAAACUAUUGGGAUUUGGAAAUAUAAGUGACAGAUUAUUUGAAGCCCACACCUAUUUCCCAGAAGAGCUUGGAGAUGGAUAAUCAUCUUCUCUUCAUGUUCAGUGAAGUUACCACGCUUAAUACCCGGCCGGAGAUAAUUUGUCCAUCUAAGCCGGCAACUCUUGCUGCAUCUAAGCAAACCUGAAAAACCCUCAAAGAAACAGUAAACCAAAACCACACCCUUAUAUGGAAAUAAUAAAUCUACCCCAACGUUUAGGGUACUGCCAAAGUGACAGCACAUGAACUGCAGAAUAUUAAAUGCACAGCUUUAAAGAUCAACCAACCCCAAACCAAACAAGAAAGAAAUGAGGAAAAAAAUUUACCUGUAUUAGUAGGAACCGAUCUCCAAUUCCCAGGUCCAUGUUCUUGUAUGUAAGAGACCAAGAUGAUAUCUUCCUCAGGCGUCCAUGGCCCUUUCUUGACUCCUACUUUGUCACAGCAAGGUGGUCUCCCCAUAUAUCCUAAAGAAUUAAGAACAAGCAGGUUCUUCUGUGUAGGUGAUAUAUCUAUAUGUAUAGUCGACGUUUGAGAAUCUUUUUUUCCCACCUUAGAAAUUGAGAGGCAAGCGUCCAAGGCAAGGAUUUGGGUUGUCUAUAUAUAGAGAGAAUAGACUUAACGAGGUGUGUACGCUGACCAAGGAGAGGUAAAGGGGAUUUUGCAUCCACAUAGUCAAAAUGGACAGCAGAGAGCAUUUACUUCU
rnacentral:misc_RNA from 1 species